UCUUGGUCAUUUAGAGGAAGUAAAAGUCGUAACAAGGUCUCCGUAGGUGAACCUGCGGAGGGAUCAUUACAGAGUUCAUGCCCUUACGGGUAGAUCUCCCACCCUAUGUUAUUAUUACCUUUGUUGCUUUGGCGGGCCGUCAGGCCUCGGUCAGGCUAUCGGCUCCGGCUGGUAAGCGCCCGCCAGAGGACCCAAAAACUCUGAAUGUUAAUGUCGUCUGAGUACUAUAUAAUAGUUAAAACUUUCAACAACGGAUCUCUUGGUUCUGGCAUCGAUGAAGAACGCAGCGAAAUGCGAUAAGUAAUGUGAAUUGCAGAAUUCAGUGAAUCAUCGAAUCUUUGAACGCACAUUGCGCCCCUUGGUAUUCCGAGGGGCAUGCCUGUUCGAGCGUCAUUACAACCCUCAAGCAUUGCUUGGUAUUGGGCUCCGCUGCUCACCCAGCGGGCCUUAAAAUCAGUGGCGGUGCCGUCGAGGCCCUGAGCGUAGUAAAUAUCCUCGCUAUAGGGACUCGGUGGACGCUGGCCAUUAACCCCCAACUUUCUAAGUUUGACCUCGGAUCAGGUAGGGAUACCCGCUGAACUUAAGCAUAUCAAUAAGCGGAGGA
rnacentral:rRNA from 1 species